CCUCAGAGCAGUCAAUGAUGUUACCGUCUUGGAAACUCCCAUUGUUCCAAAUCCUCAUACUCUUCUAUCCCAGGUCCCUCCUUCAGCUAAAUUCUUCACGGUGGUGGAUUUGGCCAAUGCCUUCUUCAGCGUGCCUUUGCAUCCCUCUUGUCAAUACCUGUUUGCAUUUACCCAUGACCGCCAACAAUAUACCUGGACAGUCAUGCCCCAGGGAGCACAAAAUUCCCCAAGCCAGUUUGCAAG